rnacentral:rRNA from 1 species
CCUACGGGGGGCUGCAGUGGGGAAUAUUGGACAAUGGGCGAAAGCCUGAUCCAGCAAUGCCGCGUGAGUGAUGAAGGCCUUAGGGUUGUAAAGCUCUUUUACCAGGGAUGAUAAUGACAGUACCUGGAGAAUAAGCUCCGGCUAACUCCGUGCCAGCAGCCGCGGUAAUACGGAGGGAGCUAGCGUUGUUCGGAAUUACUGGGCGUAAAGCGCACGUAGGCGGCUAUUCAAGUCGGGGGUGAAAGCCCGGGGCUCAACCCCGGAACUGCCCUCGAAACUAGGUAGCUAGAAUCUUGGAGAGGCGAGUGGAAUUCCGAGUGUAGAGGUGAAAUUCGUAGAUAUUCGGAAGAACACCAGUGGCGAAGGCGACUCGCUGGACAAGUAUUGACGCUGAGGUGCGAAAGCGUGGGGAGCAAACAGGAUUAGAUACCCCGGUAGUC